rnacentral:lncRNA from 1 species
GGUACCUACGGGGAAGGACAGGACUGUGAACAAACCAGACAUCAGCAGACCUUCUAUUUCCCUUGUUAAAAAGAUGGUAGCAGCUCAAAACAUGCCUGAGAGGGGCUCUUCUGAAAUGCCUUUGAUACCCAGUAAGAAGGCAGUGCACUGAAAUCAGCAGCUGAGGAUUCUCCGUACAGUAUCAUUUUCUUGGGAAAAAAAAAAAAAAAAAGUCUUAGAACUACAGUAAGUUCCCCAAGAUUCUGAAUUUUCACUGCCAGGCUCUACUUAACAUGUACCCCUGACAUUAGGUCCUGCAAACACUAUUAUACUCUUUUGCAGACUCAGACAAAUUAUUCUUGAGCUACUGCAUGUCUCCUUUGAAUUGCAAGGGAAAUGGCCCAAGAAGCAGCUUCCCUACUUCAGACAUCCACAUCCAAGCUGAAGAGACAAGGAGGCAGACAAUGAAAACCAAGAAGAAAAGGUUGUGGCACUCGGGAUGUGGGAUCGGAGAAAGGCUGAUGCUUCAUCCUGGAAGUCUCACUGUCUGUCACUCCUGCAGGUCCUCGCUCACACUUGUCCCAGCUACAGAGCUGCUACUGCGGCCCACAGGGAGCAGAGCUGGCCCUGAGCAUCCGACGCCUCCACAGUAACCAACACUCAAGCAGUUUCAGGAAGGUUGCUAAGCCAGAACAUUGUUCACUCUCAGGGUGAAAAGCAAUUUUUGUGAAUUUUCUACAUGGAGCAGCAGAGUUAACAGCCUUGCCUGCUCCUGUCCAACAGUGUUAGAGCCAAUUCCCUAACUUAGACUGAAUGUGCUGGGUCAGUUGCUUUCAGAAUCAGGUCAAAGAACUAGUACUGUACUCCUGUUUGUUAUCCAGCAUCAGAAAUCUGACAGAUUAACGCGGUAGUAAAUUCUCACCUGUCUUUAUCACUUACUGGUGAAGCAGAAUUUGAACUUGCCACAGGUGCAGUACAAUUCAGGAAAUGAGUUUUGC